rnacentral:rRNA from 1 species
AACGAACGCUGGCGGCAUGCCUAACACAUGCAAGUCGAACGAGACCUUCGGGUCUAGCGGCGCACGGGUGCGUAACGCGUGGGAACCUGCCCUUAGGUUCGGAAUAACUCCCCGAAGGGGGUGCUAAUACCGGUUAAUGUCUUCGGACCAAAGAUUUAUCGCCUUUGGAUGGGCCCGCGUUGGAUUAGCUAGUUGGUAGGGUAAAAGCCUACCAAGGCGACGAUCCAUAGCUGGUCUGAGAGGAUGAUCAGCCACGCUGGGACUGAGACACGGCCCAGACUCCUACGGGAGGCAGCAGUGGAGAAUAUUGUACAAUGGGCGAAAGCCUGAUCCAGCAAUGCCGGGUAAGUGAUGAAUGCCUUAGGGUUGUAAAGCUCUUUGACCCGGGAUGAUAAUGACAGUACCGGGAGAAUAAGCUCCGGCUAACUCCGUG